GGCAAACAGACUUUGAUCCGGAGAUCUCUGAAUGGGGGAACCCACCGGUCAUAAGGCCGGUAUCUUGACCUGAAUCCAUAGGGCCAAGAGGCGAACCAGGGGAACUGAAACAUCUAAGUACCCUGAGGAACAGAAAUCAACCGAGAUUCCCUUAGUAGUGGCGAGCGAACGGGGAUUAGCCCUUAAGCUUCUUGGAUUUUAGCGGAACGCUCUGGAAAGUGCGGCCAUAGUGGGUGAUAGCCCCGUACGCGAAAAGGUCCUU
rnacentral:rRNA from 1 species